CGCGGAGUAGAGCAGUUUGGUAGCUCGUCGGGCUCAUAACCCGGAGGUCGCAGGUUCAAAUCCUGCCUCCGCAACCA
rnacentral:tRNA from 1 species